rnacentral:rRNA from 1 species
UGGGGAAUAUUAGAAAUGGACGAAAGUCUGAUCUAGCAACACCGCGUGUGCGAAGAAGGCCUUCGGGUUGUAAAGCACUUUUUGGAAGGAUUAGGAAGGAAUGUACUUCCAGAAUAAGUCUCGGCUAACUACGUGCCAGCAGCCGCGGUAAUACGUAGGUGGCAAGCGUUGUCCGGAAUUACUGGGCGUAAAGCGCGUGUAGGUGGUUCUGUAAGUAGGGCGUGAAAGCUCCUGGCUCAACUGGGAGAGGCCGUUCUAAACUGCAGAGCUAGAGGAUGGUAGAGGGAGGUGGAAUUCCGGGUGUAGCGGUGGAAUGCGCAGAUAUCCGGAGGAACACCAGUGGCGAAAGCGGCCUCCUGGACCACUCCUGACACCCAGACGCGAAAGCUAGGGUAGCAAACG